CGGCGCGAGAGAGGAGAAUGGGCGUGACCGCGGGACGGAGGGAAAAGACCGGACGGGAAAUGUUUUCGCUUUGUGGUGUGGUGCGUAGUAGUGAGGCGGGCGUAGGUCAAAGUAAAAGACAGACAUGGCUAUUGCACCAUAUAUUAUGUAAACAAGAAAAAGACAUCCCCUCCAUCAUUAGACAAAAUCCAGACAAUGUAAAUUGAGACUCAAGGCCGGUGGAUGUUCCCAGGCAAGCUAAUCUACAAUAUACUUCAAAGCAUCUGAAAGUGAAAGCGUUUCGAAUUCAUACUCCUCUGAUCCCCCUCUCGACUUUUAUGACAACCGAGAGUUUGACACUGAUGAAUGUAUCAGUAAUCCAGAUUAGCUGUCAAGAAAUCGGAUGGUCCUGACGAAAUCCAGACCCCUCCCUUCUAUGACCAGAAGUCUGACUGGAGUAAUUGUAUUACUAGGUUAAUUCUAAACCUUGUUUUGGAAAAGAUCAAAAUCCAAAAGUUCCUGACCUUCCUACACAUCCACCAGCAGUGAUAAUACGUUGCUACCUCAUUGCACGAUCGCCAGCAGAAUGAUCAAAAAUGAGGUAUUUGCGUGCGCCGGAGGAAACCAUGAUUGGCCAACGAAAAAGGUAAGUACAGAUGGUUUAGAAAUUUGGGUUGGGUACCAUUUGUCCCAUGUUUUAAAGGAGUUAACAAGGAAAAUGUUUUCGGUA